rnacentral:rRNA from 1 species
UGGGGGAUAUUGCACAAUGGGCGAAAGCCUGAUGCAGCGACGCCGCGUGGGGGAUGAAGGCCUUCGGGUUGUAAACUCCUUUUGCUCUGAACAAGGCAUGCCUUUGGGGUGUGUUGAGUGUAGGGGUUGAUUAGCGCCGGCUAACUACGUGCCAGCAGCCGCGGUACUACGUAGGGCGCGAGCGUUGUCCGGAAUUAUUGGGCGUAAAGGGCUUGUAGGUGGCUGGUUGCGUCUGUCGUGAAAGCUCAUGGCUUAACUGUGGGUUUGCGGUGGGUACGGGCUGGGUUGAGUGAAGUAGGGGAGGCUGGAAUUCCUGGUGUAGCGGUGGAAUGCGCAGAUAUCAGGAGGAAUACCGGUGGCGAAGGCGGGUCUCUGGGCUGUUACUGACGCUGAGGAGCGAAAGCGUGGGGAGCGAACAGG